CUACGAAGGGGGCUAGCGUUGUUCGGAUUUACUGGGCGUAAAGCGCACGUAGGCGGAUUGAUUAGUUAGGGGUGAAAUCCCGAGGCUCAACCUCGGAACUGCCUUUAAUACUACAAAGCUCGAGGAUGUGAGAGGAGUGUGGAAUUCCAAGUGUAGAGGUGAAAUUCGUAGAUAUUUGGAAGAACACCAGUGGCGAAGGCGACUCUCUGGCACAUUUCUGACGCUGAGGUGCGAAAGCGUGGGGAGCAAACAGGAUUAGAUACCCUAGUAGUCC
rnacentral:rRNA from 1 species